GGUUAAGCGACUAAGCGUACACGGUGGAUGCCCUGGCAGUCAGAGGCGAUGAAGGACGUGCUAAUCUGCGAUAAGCGUCGGUAAGGUGAUAUGAACCGUUAUAACCGGCGAUUUCCGAAUGGGGAAACCCAGUGUGUUUCGACACACUAUCAUUAACUGAAUCCAUAGGUUAAUGAGGCGAACCGGGGGAACUGAAACAUCUAAGUACCCCGAGGAAAAGAAAUCAACCGAGAUUCCCCCAGUAGCGGCGAGCGAACGGGGAGGAGCCCAGAGCCUGAAUCAGUGUGUGUGUUAGUGGAAGCGUCUGGAAAGGCGCGCGAUACAGGGUGACAGCCCCGUACACAAAAAUGCACAUGCUGUGAGCUCGAUGAGUAGGGCGGGACACGUGGUAUCCUGUCUGAAUAUGGGGGGACCAUCCUCCAAGGCUAAAUACUCCUGACUGACCGAUAGUGAACCAGUACCGUGAGGGAAAGGCGAAAAGAACCCCGGCGAGGGGAGUGAAAAAGAACCUGAAACCGUGUACGUACAAGCAGUGGGAGCAUGCUUAGGCGUGUGACUGCGUACCUUUUGUAUAAUGGGUCAGCGACUUAUAUUCUGUAGCAAGGUUAACCGAAUAGGGGAGCCGAAGGGAAACCGAGUCUUAACUGGGCGUUAAGUUGCAGGGUAUAGACCCGAAACCCGGUGAUCUAGCCAUGGGCAGGUUGAAGGUUGGGUAACACUAACUGGAGGACCGAACCGACUAAUGUUGAAAAAUUAGCGGAUGACUUGUGGCUGGGGGUGAAAGGCCAAUCAAACCGGGAGAUAGCUGGUUCUCCCCGAAAGCUAUUUAGGUAGCGCCUCGUGAACUCAUCUCCGGGGGUAGAGCACUGUUUCGGCAAGGGGGUCAUCCCGACUUACCAACCCGAUGCAAACUGCGAAUACCGGAGAAUGUUAUCACGGGAGACACACGGCGGGUGCUAACGUCCGUCGUGAAGAGGGAAACAACCCAGACCGCCAGCUAAGGUCCCAAAGUCAUGGUUAAGUGGGAAACGAUGUGGGAAGGCCCAGACAGCCAGGAUGUUGGCUUAGAAGCAGCCAUCAUUUAAAGAAAGCGUAAUAGCUCACUGGUCGAGUCGGCCUGCGCGGAAGAUGUAACGGGGCUAAACCAUGCACCGAAGCUGCGGCAGCGACGCUUAUGCGUUGUUGGGUAGGGGAGCGUUCUGUAAGCCUGUGAAGGUGUACUGUGAGGUAUGCUGGAGGUAUCAGAAGUGCGAAUGCUGACAUAAGUAACGAUAAAGCGGGUGAAAAGCCCGCUCGCCGGAAGACCAAGGGUUCCUGUCCAACGUUAAUCGGGACAGGGUGAGUCGACCCCUAAGGCGAGGCCGAAAGGCGUAGUCGAUGGGAAACAGGUUAAUAUUCCUGUACUUGGUGUUACUGCGAAGGGGGGACGGAGAAGGCUAUGUUGGCCGGGCGACGGUUGUCCCGGUUUAAGCGUGUAGGCUGGUUUUCCAGGCAAAUCCGGAAAAUCAAGGCUGAGGCGUGAUGACGAGGCACUACUGUGCUGAAGCAACAAAUGCCCUGCUUCCAGGAAAAGCCUCUAAGCAUCAGGUAACAUCAAAUCGUACCCCAAACCGACACAGGUGGUCAGGUAGAGAAUACCAAGGCGCUUGAGAGAACUCGGGUGAAGGAACUAGGCAAAAUGGUGCCGUAACUUCGGGAGAAGGCACGCUGAUAUGUAGGUGAAGCGACUUGCUCGUGGAGCUGAAAUCAGUCGAAGAUACCAGCUGGCUGCAACUGUUUAUUAAAAACACAGCACUGUGCAAACACGAAAGUGGACGUAUACGGUGUGACGCCUGCCCGGUGCCGGAAGGUUAAUUGAUGGGGU
rnacentral:rRNA from 1 species